rnacentral:lncRNA from 1 species
GUCUUCUGACACAGGCAUCUCACAACACCAGUGCAGCCGGACCGUUGUCUGGUAGGUCUCUGUGCACCCAGGAGGACCUGGGCCUGCGAGAAGUCUGGGGCCCACUGCUGGGUAUGCUCGUUUCUUGAGCAUCCGAGUCACCUUUACAGUCUGCGAUGAUUGACGAGGUCAAACAGGACUCACUUGCAUUGCCGGGUCUCUGUGGCGACAGGGAGGACUUGGAGAUCAAAGAAACUCUAGUAACGUGGAAAUUCAUGCUCCGAGUAGUGACAAGCCAGUGACUUUUUCUAUAGAAAGGGUACAAGACUCCAAUUUGAAAAUCUCAAGCAGCUUUAUAUUCAAGCAAGUUCAAUCCAAUCUCUUCCUGACUCACUGUCUCAUCAACAUGCAAAGCUCUCGAAGAGAAAUCAUCUCUUACUUGCCUGAGGGAGUUCUGGCAGACGUUUUGAAUGUGGAUGUGGAAGUUCUUUCCUCGUCUCCAUCCUGUCAAGAGCCGUGGAGCAAACAGCAGGAUGAGGAAGACAUGGAAGACAAAACUGAUAACGCACGUCACCUCGCUGCAGCGGGAGACAGAAUGUAACUUCAAUUCAGCCUCUUUGGGGUUUGGGUUCUGACCAAGUAAAUCGGGAAUGUUGUUAACAUAUCAA